GGUUGACGGAUCCUUUAAAAUUAAGCGGUUUGUUUCACUUUGCAUAUAUUCACCGGCAUGAACACUUGGUAACUGGAUAAUAACACGUUACAACAUGGGCCAAAAAUAUAGUAGUGAAGCAAACGGCAUAGAUGGAUGCGCGGGAUGCGGAGUAUGGCUCCCGCCUGCCAAUAAAGAUUUUGAUUUCAUUAAGGCGAUGCAAGGGACCAGUACUUUGACAUAUUGCUUUUGGACACCACAGAAAAUCCAGUCGUUAUUACAGAUACAGAAAACGAAGGUUUGAACGUCAGCGAAUCACCUUCCUAGAACGCUGGAGAAUCAAAGUCUGUUACGGUCACAAAAGGAACAAAGUUAUUUAAAUAUUUCAGGAUUACCGGCUCUUCGGAAUAUUGGUGUUCCAAGUGUUUUGCCAUUUACAAACGUCAAAAUUGCUCGGUCAGUUUUCUUUGAGUUGAUGGGACAUGGUGAAAUAGUUUCACCAGAUAUGGCAUUAGUGAAUAUUAUUGGUGAUGAUUGAUAAAGACCACUGAAGAUUUACUCUAAGAAGAUAUAAUGAAACAGACACGUAGGAAAUAUCGGAAGGUUUAAACUAGUUAUAUAAUGAAUACUCUGUAUAUAUUUAUGUUCAUUCUUCUAACCUCUUUCCCUGAAGAUCUAUAACAUGAAUGUUCGUUGUUUAUUGUGACAUUAUUUCAGAGUUAAAUGCAUGUUCCACACAGACAUUGCUUACGAAACUAACAUUGAUAUGUGAUUAGCAUGUUGUUUUUGUUCAAUUUAUCUAAGGUUACUGUUGCCAAAAAUAAUUUCUAUUCACAAUAUUGAAUAUAUAUCAGUAAA